GACGAACGCUGGCGGCGUGCUUAACACAUGCAAGUCGAACGCUGAAGCUCAGCUUUUGUUGGGUGGAUGAGUGGCGAACGGGUGAGUAACACGUGAGUAACCUGCCCCCUUCUUUGGGAUAACGCCCGGAAACGGGUGCUAAUACUGGAUAUUCACUGGUCUUCGCAUGGGGGUUGGUGGAAAGGGUUUUUCUGGUGGGGGAUGGGCUCGCGGCCUAUCAGCUUGUUGGUGGGGUGAUGGCCUACCAAGGCUUUGACGGGUAGCCGGCCUGAGAGGGUGACCGGUCACAUAGGGACUGAGAUACGGCCCAGACUCCUACGGGAGGCAGCAGUGGGGAAUAUGGCACAAUGGGCGCAAGCCUGAUGCAGCGACGCCGCGUGAGGGAUGGAGGCCUUCGGGUUGUGAACCUCUUUCGCUCAUGGUGAAGCCGCAACAAUGGUUGUGGUGAGGGUAGUGGGUAAAGAAGCGCCGGCUAACUACGUG
rnacentral:rRNA from 1 species